rnacentral:tRNA from 1 species
GGGGAUUUAGCUCAGUGGAAGAGCGCUUGCCUAGCAAGCACAAGGCCCUGGGUUCGGUCCCCAGCUCUG